CCUACGGGAGGCAGCAGUGGGGAAUUUUGGACAAUGGGCGCAAGCCUGAUCCAGCAAUGCCGCGUGCAGGAUGAAGGCCUUCGGGUUGUAAACUGCUUUUGUACGGAACGAAACGGUGAGCUCUAAUACAGUUUGCUAAUGACGGUACCGUAAGAAUAAGCACCGGCUAACUACGUGCCAGCAGCCGCGGUAAUACGUAGGGUGCGAGCGUUAAUCGGAAUUACUGGGCGUAAAGCGUGCGCAGGCGGUGAUGUAAGACAGAUGUGAAAUGCCCGGGCUCAACCUGGGACCUGCAUUUGUGACUGCAUCGCUAGAGUACGGUAGAGGGGGAUGGAAUUCCGCGUGUAGCAGUGAAAUGCGUAGAUAUGCGGAGGAACACCGAUGGCGAAGGCAAUCCCCUGGACCUGUACUGACGCUCAUGCACGAACGACGGUGGGGAGGACGAAACGAAGGAGUUAGAUACCCGUACGGUACGUACCGACCGACCCGUAAACCG
rnacentral:rRNA from 1 species